CUUACAUUGGUUAACGUGUUAAGUAAUUUAGCAUUAGGUCCAUAUAGUGGAUAGGUUUUAUACCCAUACUUCUAAUCUUGUGGUACCUGGUUCGAUUCUCGAUGAGUCUAUGUUGUUACGUUCUACCGUUGAUUGAAUAAUAGGAUUAUUAUACACAUUAAAAUAUGUGCAUUUUAUGAUAACCCUCUUGUCAUUUUUUUAUAAACCUCUAGUUUGUUCAAUGAUAGACUAUUUACUAUUAUAUUUCAGCCUUGUCUCGUAAAUAAGUAGAACAGGUAGUAUCUCCGAUGGCAUCGAGUCUCACACAAAUUCAAAGCAAAUAAAAAACCCUCCCCCGGUCCUGCAUACCUAAAACCAUUGCAUACCUUCAGUCUUCGUUUGUGUGUCGAGUCGACCAUAUGUACCGCUCCGCUUUUCGAAAUUAUCGAUUUUUAUUUUGUACCGCGUUACCGUGUUGUUCAUUGUUCAUUGUUCAUUAAAUAAAUAGGUUAAUAUGCCUAAGCACAGCCGUAAACGACAACAUUCUCGUAGUCGAUCUAGAGAACGGAAAAAAUCGGCGUUUAGAAAAACGAUUGGCCGAAAUGCAACAGAUGAAAUUAAUAGUCGGGGAAAAAAAAGGCGACGUUUGGAGAGUAUGGGGAGCUCUAGAGGCGGUGAUGCCGGAGAACCCAGUGCAUAUUCUUCACCGUAUGAUAGUGAUUUGUCGCCUCGCCACUCUGUUCGUGAAACAGUUAGGGUGGAUGUCCACCAGUUAAACAGUGAUUCUGAACAGCAAGAAAAUAAUCCUCAGCCCCCGAUCGUGUAAUCAGAGGAAGCAAAAGAAAAAUCUUUGAGUUCUGAGGUUUUGCAGAUACUUGGCGAUGAGCCAAUAAAUAAGACCGUCUUAGGACCUCCAAUUUAUGAGGCAGUAGUCCCUCGCUGGAGUAAUAUUUUACAGAAUGGUUUAAUCUCUGGAAGUACCUCAGUUAAAUCCCGAGGUUAAGGCAGCCUUAACUUCUCAAAUACUCCGCAGAGAUGAGCGCCUGGUGUGAAAACAGCAGUUUGUGGCUGCAAGCAUAUCAGCAAUUUCCCAAGCCUUAACUUUGAUGCU